rfam:Ovis aries breed Texel chromosome 12, whole genome shotgun sequence.
UCCUGGGUUGUCUAGAGGUUAGGACUCAGUGCUUUCACUGCUGUGGCUUGGGUUCAAUCCCUAGUCAGGGAA